GGGCACGUGGCGAAACUGGCAGACGCGCUAGCCUUAGGAGCUAGUGAGGCAACUCAUGGGGGUUCAACUCCCCCCGUGCCCA
rnacentral:tRNA from 1 species